UCAAAGGCUCUUUUCAGAGCCGCCACCUUUAGAAAAGCACCGUAU
rfam:Myotis lucifugus cont2.30069, whole genome shotgun sequence.